rnacentral:rRNA from 1 species
CUACCUAUAAGACUGGGAGUAACUUCGUGAAACCGGAGCUAAUACCGGAUAAUAUAUUGAACCGCAUGGUUCAAUAGUGAAAGACGGUUUUGCUGUCACUUAUAGAUGGAUCCGCGCCGCAUUAGCUAGUUGGUAAGGUAACGGCUUACCAAGGCAACGAUGCGUAGCCGACCUGAGAGGGUGAUCGGCCACACUGGAACUGAGACACGGUCCAG